GAAGAUCCACGCCUCACCUGCGUCUGGAGAGGGUCAGGAGAAGAGCUCGACGGCCCCGCAAGUUUCAUCUUGUGUACUUGGAAAGGAGUCCCAACUACUGCCAAUGAAUCCCGCGGUGGGUUCGCUGGGCACCGUGGGUCGCAAAUGCAACAGAACUUCGUCAGGGCCAGGUGGCUGUGACCUGCUGUGCUGCGGCCGCGGGUACAACACUCACCAGUACACACGCACAUGGCACUGCAACUGCAAGUUUCACUGGUGUUGUUACGUGCAAUGCCACACCUGCAUGGAGGACACCGAGGAGAACAACUGCAAGUUGGGGGAGGCGGUGGCUGAGUCGUCAAAGUAACGGCCUCGUGUUCAGGAGGACGCGAGUUCAAUCCCCGCCCGGUGCCACCAAGCUGGGAUUUUUCAGCCGCCGCCGAGUGGCUUAAAACUACCCACAUGCUGUCCAGAAGACCACCUAUCAACCCGGACUCUAGAUUCUAGGAUCAAAGAU